AGGUUUAAAUCCAAUAUCAUAAUGACACGUCGUUGUUUUUCAUCAACUCAGUUACUACUGAUAAGAUUUUAGGUAUUCGUAGGACUUCGUAUUCUUUGGAGCAGCAUCAUGUUCAGACUAACGGGUAGUAUAAUUAUACAUUUAUCGUUAUAUCGUUAUCACAUGAUUUAAAUAAAUAUUGGUAAUACUCACUGACGAUUGAGAUAAUCCGUAAAAUUAUUAAACUGGAGGUAAAUUCAAAUCGACCAAUCAGAUAUGGCCGUGCAUAUGUCAAAACUAGUUG